CUGAAGUGACAGCAGGCAAUGCGGUGGGGGAAAGUAUCCCCAGCCAAACUAUUGCAGGUCCAGUUGGAGGGCGCAGACGAAGAGCUCUCAGGGCCUCUCAAGACUACGCACAUUUACGUAAAACUCUUGAAGUCCCAGAGGUCCUGACUGUGACACUGAGAGGAGGAUCCUUGUACGUGAAGUGGAGGAAAGUGAAAGAUGCAACCAAGUACACGCUGGUCAUCGAGGAGGAGCAGAGGAAGGAGCCCCCGAGAAGGAGAACCGUGGAGAGUGACUUUUACAUAGAGACCGGCCUCAAACCCCGGACGACCUACUGCGUCAGAGUGGCAGCCAAGAACUACGUCGACCAAAGCAACUACUCCAGCCCAACGUGCCGUUCAGACAUCUUAUAACUGACGUACGCAGAUGCAUUUACAUUAACCCUGGACUAAAGAUAAGAAUCACUAUGUUCGUCUGCUCCACGUCCCUCAGAGUUGUUACCAGUUUCAGCUCCAAAUCUUUAGGAGGAUAAUUGUGAAAAAGAAAUAAUCACAGCUGCAAAGCCAUAUGAAAUUGUUUUGGGUGCGUCACACAAGUCGCAGAAAAACUAUGAUCAAACCUGACUGGAAGCUUUAGUAUUGAAUGCCUACGAGUUACAGCUAAUUAUAGUGCGUUUGUAGCUGUCGAACAAAGUAUUUGCUGAAAUUAUAUUUAUCAAAAAUUAUUUUAUAUUUGAGAGAUAGGUCUGUAGUGUCUCUGGAUGAUUGUCAAACCAAGAAAAUCUAGUGUGGACAAAUAAACCGAUAAUUUAUCAAGCAAUAUUUUUAAA